AUUAUUUGUGGGACUUCCAGCUCCAGUUUGCUCACCGCCUACCCCAACCCGUCUGACCCAGCCCCAGGCCCAGUGACAUGCCAUACACCCACCACCCUCCUGCGUUGCCGAGAUCGAGACGCCGCCAUGGCCGUGCUUAGGGACCGGGGGAUGCCGCCAUUAAGCUCUUCGGUCACACCAUCCCGCUCCUCGACACCACGGCCGAGGUUAUCACCAAGCUUGGAAAUGAUGCAAACAGCAAUGAUGUCAUGCCUUGUGUCUCAAACAAUCUUUUGAAUGUCGAAGCAACUCCUUUCUAUUCCAAGAAUAGAGAGCAGAAUGAUCAAGCUAUCAGCAAACAUGGGGUGGAAGUGAGAACUGGUUUCAAAUUUGAGGAGAUUAAAUCUGGGUUUGAUGGAUCUGACCAAGACAAGGUUACUCAAGAAGCCUGAUAUAAUCGUGCCAUGCCCUCGUUGCAAUAGCAUGGAAACAAAGUUCUGCUACUUCAACAAUUACAAUGUUAGCUAGCCUAGGCACUUCUGCAGGAAUUGCCAGAGGUAUUGGACCGCUGGUGGAAAUAUUAGAAAUGUCCCUGUAGGUUCUGGAAGACGCAGAAAUAAGCAUGCCUCUCACUUCCGCCAUGCUACGAUGUCGUGUGUGUUAGAAGUAUAUUUACGUUUGAGAUAGAGAUAAAAGAUAGAGAUAGGAUAGGUUUGAACCAUGUGUAACUUGUCCUCUACUCCAAGUCUUUCUCCCUCCAUUGUACCUCUAUAUAUACCCCAUACAUGGGUCAGAUCAAACAACAACAUACACAACACAAUAUUCGGCCAUCCUAUAUUUUUCCA